rnacentral:rRNA from 1 species
UGAGGGUGGCUGCUCCUAGUACGAGAGGACCGGAGUGGACGCAUCACUGGUGUUCGGGUUGUCAUGCCAAUGGCACUGCCCGGUAGCUAAAUGCGGAAGAGAUAAGUGCUGAAAGCAUCUAAGCACGAAACUUGCCCCGAGAUGAGUUCUCCCUGACUCCUUGAGAGUCCUGAAGGAACGUUGAAGACGACGACGUUGAUAGGCCGGGUGUGUAAGCGCAGCGAUGCGUUGAGCUAACCGGUACUAAUGAACCGUGAGGCUUAACCUU